rnacentral:rRNA from 1 species
GGGUUAGUAGGCUGGUCGUGCCACCGGUACGUACUGGUCUUACUGAUUCCUCCUUCCUGAUGAACUAUAAUGCCAUUAAUUUGGUGUCGCAGGAAAUCCGGACUGUUACUUUGAAAAAAUUAGAGUGUUUAAAGCAGGCUAACGCUUGAAUACAUUAGCAUGGAAUAAUGAAAUAGGACGUUCGAUCCUAUUUUGUUGGUUUCUAGGAUUGACGUA